rnacentral:misc_RNA from 1 species
AAAAAAAAAAAGGCAAAGGGGUGCCCUUUAUUUUGUGGCUCUGAACCUUUUAAAUAUAUUUUAACCCAUUUUUAAAACCCAAAGUUGUUAUGUGUGCCUUUUUUGGUAUAGCAUCUCAACAGUACGUUAACUUGUGUUGUUGUUUCACAUGAGCUCUGACAUUACCCCCCUUUAUAAGUGACCCUUUUUUUUUUAAUUAAUUACUCUUUAUAAAAAUGUUCUUAAGAAUGUAAAAAAAAAACCCCUUAUAAAA